UGGGGAAUAUUGGGCAAUGGGCGCAAGCCUGACCCAGCGACGCCGCGUGGGUGAUGAAGGCCUUCGGGUCGUAAAGCCCUGUCGGGUGGAAAGAAUGGUUAUUGGGCGAAUAGGCCAGUAACGUGACGGUACCACCGAAGGAAGCACCGGCCAAUUCCGUGCCAGCAGCCGCGGUAAGACGGAAGGUGCAAGCGUUGCUCGGAAUCAUUGGGCGUAAAGCGCGUGUAGGCGGCCAUUUAAGUCGGAUGUGAAAGCCCGGGGCCCAACCCCGGAACUGCAUUCGAUACUGAUUGGCUGGAGUCCCGGAGAGGAAGGCGGAAUUCCCGGUGUAGAGGUGAAAUUCGUAGAUAUCGGGAGGAACAUCAGUGGCGCAGGCGGCCUUCUGGACGGUGACUGACGCUGAGACGCGAAAGCGUGGGGAGCAAACAGGAUUAGAUACCCUUGUAGUCCCUGAGCGGGCUGGCAAGGCGCAU
rnacentral:rRNA from 1 species